rnacentral:rRNA from 1 species
CCUACGGGAGGCAGCAGUGAGGAAUAUUGGUCAAUGGACGAGAGUCUGAACCAGCCAAGUAGCGUGAAGGAUGAAUGCCCUAUGGGUUGUAAACUUCUUUUAUAUGGGAGUAAAAUGUUCCACGUGUGGGAUUUUGUAUGUACCAUAUGAAUAAGGAUCGGCUAACUCCGUGCCAGCAGCCGCGGUAAUACGGAGGAUCCGAGCGUUAUCCGGAUUUAUUGGGUGUAAGGGGAGCGUAGGUGGAUGGUUAAGUCAGUUGUGAAAGUUUGCGGCUCAACCGUAAAAUUGCAGUUGAAACUGGCAGGCUUGAGUACAGUAGAGGUGAGCGGAAUUCGUGGUGUAGCGGUGAAAUGCUUAGAUAUCACGAAGAACUCCGAUUGCGAAGGCAGCUCACUGGACUGCAACUGACACUGAGGCUCGAAAGUGUGGGUAUCAAACAGGAUUAGAUACCCCGGUAGUC